GGAGAUGAUCGCAGUCAGAAUACUUAAAGUAUUCAGUUUUUAUUGUGAUCUUAACAAUCAGGAAUCUUUAACCUUCCUUUUUCUGGAAAUUGUCACGUGACACCAUAUAGCUUAGACAAUUUUCUUGAUUCACAAGUGAAUAUAUUAUUAUCUAAUCAAUAAACAACUUUGAUCCCUGUUUUCUUGUAGGCAAGACAGCAUAUGAAGCAAAAACCUUGAUGACCGGACUUUGUUGUCUAAGCUCAUCAAGUUUCUUUUUACUUGCUUUACUGGGUUUUUCCUUUGGACAAGUCCACUGUGUGCUAAUAAUAACAUGCUAAUUUGCUAACAAAACAGAAAAAGCUAACAUCAGCUAUUCAGCUUGACAUUACAAUGCCAAAGCCAAUAAAGUAUGCUUGGUUUUGCAGCUGGAAUUUGGUACUUGAUUCGCUCCAAGGAGAAGGGGGCUAUGGAAGUUGGAUCCUGGAAGGUCAAAGGGGAAGCCUGUAAACUAUUUU
rnacentral:misc_RNA from 1 species